CCUACGGGUGGCAGCAGUGAGGAAUAUUGGUCAAUGGACGCAAGUCUGAACCAGCCAUGCCGCGUGCAGGAAGACGGCUCUAUGAGUUGUAAACUGCUUUUGUACGAGGGUAAACGCAGAUACGCGUAUCUGUCUGAAAGUAUCGUACGAAUAAGGAUCGGCUAACUCCGUGCCAGCAGCCGCGGUAAUACGGAGGAUUCAAGCGUUAUCCGGAUUUAUUGGGUUUAAAGGGUGCGUAGGCGGUCGGGUAAGUUAGAGGUGAAAUCCCGAGGCUCAACUUCGGAAUUGCCUCUGAUACUGUUAGGCUAGAGAGUAGUUGAGGUAGGCGGAAUGUAAGGUGUAGCGGUGAAAUGCUUAGAGAUCAUGAAGAACACCGAUUGCGAAGGCAGCUUACCAAGCUACUACUGACGUUGAGGCACGAAAGCGUGGGGAGCAAACAGGAUUAGAUACCCUUGUAGUC
rnacentral:rRNA from 1 species